AGUGAACGCUGGCGGUAGGCCUAACACAUGCAAGUCGAACGGCAGCACAGUAAGAGCUUGCUCUUACGGGUGGCGAGUGGCGGACGGGUGAGGAAUACAUCGGAAUCUACUUUUUCGUGGGGGAUAACGUAGGGAAACUUACGCUAAUACCGCAUACGACCUACGGGUGAAAGCAGGGGAUCUUCGGACCUUGCGCGAUUGAAUGAGCCGAUGUCGGAUUAGCUGGUUGGCGGGGUAAAGGCCCACCAAGGCGACGAUCCGUAGCCGGUCUGAGAGGAUGAUCAGCCACACUGGAACUGAGACACGGUCCAGACUCCUACGGGAGGCAGCAGUGGGGAAUAUUGGACAAUGGGCGCAAGCCUGAUCCAGCCAUACCGCGUGGGUGAAGAAGGCCUUCGGGUUGUAAAGCCCUUUUGUUGGGAAAGAAAAGCAGCAGGUUAAUACCCCGCUGUUCUGACGGUACCCAAAGAAUAAGCACCGGCUAACUUCGUG
rnacentral:rRNA from 1 species